rnacentral:sRNA from 1 species
UAUUCUGCCCCACGGGGAAGGAUGAGAAGCUUCGACUAAGGUUCGACUCGAGCGAAGCGAGAGAACGUUGCCGCAGGCAACGGCCCGAAGGGCGAGGAGCGAUAGCGACGAGUUAUCCUUCCCCCACCAC